GGCAAAGGUGGAUUCUUUCAGGCUUUAAUGGGGUGCUUUACUCCUUUUUGCGAGCAAGGGGAGGCACACAUGUGACUCAAACUAAGGCUCCGGUCACAACAGUUUUUGGAAACGUUACUUUUCCUUCUUCUAUUUCAAGUGCAAAUGCCAGUCCUCUUCUUCUGCCAAAGGUAAAGAAGAUGCUUCAGACAACUUUCUUGCUCUCAUCAUUGCUUAUGAUGCGUGAUCCCUCCUUCAACUUCAACCCCUUUUGUCUGUACUAUCAGCACAGGAAUGUCAUUUCCA
rnacentral:misc_RNA from 1 species